rnacentral:rRNA from 1 species
AGAGUUUGAUCCUGGCUCAGGACGAACGCUGGCGGCGUGCCUAAUACAUGCAAGUCGAACGCUUCUUUCCUCCCGAGUGCUUGCACUCAAUUGGAAAGAGGAGUGGCGGACGGGUGAGUAACACGUGGGUAACCUACCCAUCAGAGGGGGAUAACACUUGGAAACAGGUGCUAAUACCGCAUAACAGUUUAUGCCGCAUGGCAUAAGAGUGAAAGGCGCUUUCGGGUGUCGCUGAUGGAUGGACCCGCGGUGCAUUAGCUAGUUGGUGAGGUAACGGCUCACCAAGGCCACGAUGCAUAGCCGACCUGAGAGGGUGAUCGGCCACACUGGGACUGAGACACGGCCCAGACUCCUACGGGAGGCAGCAGUAGGGAAUCUUCGGCAAUGGACGAAAGUCUGACCGAGCAACGCCGCGUGAGUGAAGAAGGUUUUCGGAUCGUAAAACUCUGUUGUUAGAGAAGAACAAGGACGUUAGUAACUGAACGUCCUCCUGACGGUAUCUAACUAGAAAGCCACGGCUAACUACGUGCCAGCAGCCGCGGUAAUACGUAGGUGGGCAAGCGUUGUCCGGAUUUAUUGGGCGUAAAGCGAGCGCAGCGGUUUCUUAAGUCUGAUGUGAAAGCCCCCGGCUCACUGGGGAGGGUCAUUGGAAACUGGGAGACUUGAGUGCAGAGAGGAGAGUGGAAUUCCAUGUGUAGCGGUGAAAUGCGUAGAUAUAUGGAGGAA